rnacentral:lncRNA from 7 species
CCCCUUCUUUGUCCUACUUAGGUGCCUAGCUGCCACAUCCCAAGUUUGUCGUCAGCUAACCAUCCACGCCUAGCCAAAAGCGCCAUAGUGGUGAGAGAAGGUGUUAGCCGAAGGAGCGAAUUGGUUCGUCGUCGGUGAUUUCCGUCGAUACCGGUUCUUCGUCCUCAGUGCUAGGCCGAGGGAGGGUCGCCAUCGUCCGUGAAGCCGUGCGUGGCCGCGGUUGAAGUCAAGUGCCUUCGUCGCGUGGUGAAUUGCUCGCCGUUGCUGGGAAAUUUCUACCGACCGUGCAAUCACGUGGACAGAGCCGCUAUCAUCAUAAAUCAGAG